GGGCUACACACGUGCUACAAUGGUUGGUACAACGAGUUGCGAGUCGGUGACGGGCGAGCUAAUCUCUUAAAGCCAAUCUCAGUUCGGAUUGUAGGCUGCAACUCGCCUACAUGAAGUCGGAAUCGCUAGUAAUCGCGGAUCAGCACGCCGCGGUGAAUACGUUCCCGGGCCUU
rnacentral:rRNA from 1 species